UCCGAGUUGACCCCGGCAGUCUCCUACGAGUCCCCGACAUUAUUCGCUGGCAACAUAGGACAAGGGUUGCGCUCGUUGCGGGACUUAACCCAACAUCUCACGACACGAGCUGACGACAACCAUGCACCACCUGUGUAGCGCCCCGAAGGACACCGCAUCUCUGUGGCUUUUCGCUACAUGUCAAGCCUAGGUAAGGUUCUUCGCGUUGCAUCGAAUUAAGCAACAUGCUCCGCCGCUUGUGCGGGCCCCCGUCAAUUCCUUUGAGUUUUAGCCUUGCGGCCGUACUCCCCAGGCGGGGCACUUAAUGCGUUAGCUACGGCACGGAUCCCGUCGAUAGGGUCCCACACCUAGUGCCCAACGUUUACGGCGUGGACUAC
rnacentral:misc_RNA from 1 species